rnacentral:rRNA from 1 species
UCCUACGGGGGGCAGCAGUGGGGAAUAUUGCGUAAUGGGCGAAAGCCUGACGCAGCGACGCCGCGUGAGGGAUGAAGGUCUUCGGAUCGUAAACCUCUGUCAGCAGGGAAGAACGGUCACUGUGCUAAUCAGCAGUGAAUUGACGGUACCUGCAAAGGAAGCACCGGCUAACUCCGUGCCAGCAGCCGCGGUAAUACGGAGGGUGCGAGCGUUAAUCGGAAUUACUGGGCGUAAAGCGCUCGUAGGCGGUAUGUCAAGUCAGGGGUGAAAUCCCCGCCCCCAAC